rnacentral:rRNA from 1 species
CCUACGGGAGGCAGCAGUGAGGAAUAUUGGUCCAUGGACGCAAGUCUGAACCAGCCAUGCCGCGUGCAGGAAGACGGCUCUAUGAGUUGUAAACUGCUUUUGUACGAGGGUAAACGCAGAUACGCGUAUCUGUCUGAAAGUAUCGUACGAAUAAGGAUCGGCUAACUCCGUGCCAGCAGCCGCGGUAAUACGGAGGAUUCAAGCGUUAUCCGGAUUUAUUGGGUUUAAAGGGUGCGUAGGCGGUCGGAUAAGUUAGAGGUUAAAUCCCGAGGCUCAACUUCGGAAUUGCCUCUGAUACUGUUCGGCUAGAGAGUAGUUGCGGUAGGCGGAAUGUAUGGUGUAGCGGUGAAAUGCUUAGAGAUCAUACAGAACACCGAUUGCGAAGGCAGCUUACCAAGCUACUUCUGACGUUGAGGCACGAAAGCGUGGGGAGCAAACAGGAGUAGAUACCCUAGUAGUC